rnacentral:rRNA from 1 species
GAGCGGCCGAUGCCCGAUUAGCUAGUUGGCGGGGUAAUGGCCCACCAAGGCGACGAUCGGUAGCUGGUCUGAGAGGACGACCAGCCACACUGGGACUGAGACACGGCCCAGACUCCUACGGGAGGCAGCAGUGGGGAAUUUUGGACAAUGGGGGCAACCCUGAUCCAGCCAUGCCGCGUGUGUGAAGAAGGCCUUCGGGUUGUAAAGCACUUUCGGACGGAACGAAAUCGCGCGGGCGAAUAUCCCGCGUGGAUGACGGUACCGUAAGAAGAAGCACCGGCUAACUACGUGCCAGCAGCCGCGGUAAUACGUAGGGUGCGAGCGUUAAUCGGAAUUACUGGGCGUAAAGUGUGCGCAGGCGGCCGCGCAAGUCGAGUGUGAAAGCCCCGGGCUUAACUUGGGAAUUGCGCUCGAAACUACGUGGCUGGAGUGUGGCAGAGGAAGGUGGAAUUCCACGUGUAGCGGUGAAAUGCGUAGAGAUGUGGAGG